GGUCAGGUGGUGUAAUGGUUAACACCCCUGCUAUGUGUGCAGAAGCCCUGGGGUCAAUCCCCAGUCUGGCCA